rnacentral:rRNA from 1 species
AUACGUAGGGUGCGAGCGUUGUCCGGAAUUACUGGGCGUAAAGAGCUCGUAGGUGGUUUGUCGCGUCGUCUGUGAAAUUCCGGGGCUUAACUCCGGGCGUGCAGGCGAUACGGGCAUAACUUGAGUACUGUAGGGGAGACUGGAAUUCCUGGUGUAGCGGGGAAAUGCGCAGAUAUCAGGAGGAACACCGGGGGCGAAGGCGGGUCUCUGGGCAGUAACUGACGCUGAAGAGCGAAAGCAUGGGUAGCGAACAGGAUUAGAUACCCUGGUAGUCCAUGCCGUAAACGGUGGGCGCUAGGUGUAGGGGUCUUCCACGACUUCUGUGCCGUAGCUAACGCAUUAAGCGCCCCGCCUGGGGAGUACGGCCGCAAGGCUAAAACUCAAAUGAAUUGACGGGG